CUGUCGCGCCGCGGCAGCCGUCACUCACCGGUCAGGACCCAUGCACCCCUCCUGUCACCCCCGCUCAUCCCCUAUGAGACUCCUCCGGUCCCCACCACGGCACCGUCACUCCUGCCCCGGCCAGACCACCUCAUCCUCUCCGCACUUUGCUCAGCCGCUCGUCGCCUCCUGUCACCUCCAGGGUAGGACCUGGGGCACAGGGUGGGGGACAGACACCAUGUUCCUCUGGAGAUGCUGCACAGAGCCACAGGAUGAAGCUGCAGGAUGUCAUGGAAACAUACAUGUCUCUGAUGAAAGACAACUCCUAGAGGAAGGAGCUGCUGGACAAAAUUGAGAGACACUGCUCUCAUGGAGGAGAUGUCCCUGCAAAGCUACUGCAGAGCAUAGAACCACAUCAAGAGGCCUGGUAAUGAGCACUAUGCCUAUCUGAUGCUGCAAGUUGGGCAGAAGAAGCUGCAGAAGCCAAGCCUGUAGGGAAGUUUGCUGUCAAGUGGCUGAAUGUAGCACCCUGCAAGC